rnacentral:lncRNA from 1 species
CUAGUGAUAGUUGUAAAAAAUAUAAUCUUUUAUUGAUUAAUAUAUGAUCACCAUUAAAAUAUCACUUUUUAGUGAUCAUUCUUUGGCCGCCGCUAAAUAAGCAACUUUUAGUGGUAAACAAAUAUAAAAACCGAAAAAGCAUCCUUUUAUGACCACAUCACAGUUGCCACCGAAAAAUUAUUUGGUGGUAGCCAUUUCAGGCUACCACUAGAUAUCAAUCAUUUAGUGACCAAGAUCUGGCCACCACUAAAUAGCUCUUUCAGUGGCAGACAUAAUUUUGGUCACUAAUUAUUUUAGUGACGUAAUUUUUAGUGACCAUUGUGGCAGCUACUACCGAUCAUUACUAAAUAAGUUCCAUGGCAACUUUUGAAACUGUUAGUAGCAGUCUUGGCCGCCAUUAAAAAUCAAUUUUCUUACAAUAGUUUUCAGGUAUUCACUUAGCUUCUAACUAAGAGUGGUAUGUUUUUCACCAUUGUCUUGCCAAAGCUUUAGGACAAUCUAGUGGUUUAAUCACUAUAUAUUAUUAUCAAUUAUAGUAGACGUAGAAUGUACAAGUGCAAUGAGCUUCAGGCUUAGGAAGCAGACAAAGUUUAUAGAAGCAAAAAUACUAGAGGUCCAUUGUAACCCAACCAAAGAUGGUGAAGGUG